GAGUGGAAAGGGUCUGGAAUAGGACCUGGUACCAGAGUGGAACCAGUCUGGAAUAGGAGCUGGUACCAGAGUGGAAAGGGUCUGAAGAGGACCUGGUACCAGAGUGGAAAGGGUCUGGAAUAGGACCUGGUACCAGAGUGGAACCGGUCUGGAAUAGGACCUGGUACCAGAGUGGAAAGGGUCUAGAAUAGGAAGCUGGUACCAGAGUGGAAAGGGUCUGGAAUAGGACCUG